rnacentral:rRNA from 1 species
AUUGCCCUCUUUCUUUAGGCCUAACACAUGCAAGUCGAACGGCAGCACAGUAAGAGCUUGCUCUUACGGGUGGCGAGUGGCGGACGGGUGAGGAAUACAUCGGAAUCUACUUUUUCGUGGGGGAUAACGUAGGGAAACUUACGCUAAUACCGCAUACGACCUACGGGUGAAAGCAGGGGAUCUUCGGACCUUGCGCGAUUGAAUGAGCCGAUGUCGGAUUAGCUAGUUGGCGGGGUAAAGGCCCACCAAGGCGACGAUCCGUAGCUGGUCUGAGAGGAUGAUCAGCCACACUGGAACUGAGACACGGUCCAGACUCCUACGGGAGGCAGCAGUGGGGAAUAUUGGACAAUGGGCGCAAGCCUGAUCCAGCCAUACCGCGUGGGUGAAGAAGGCCUUCGGGUUGUAAAGCCCUUUUGUUGGGAAAGAAAAGCAGCAGGUUAAUACCCCGCUGUUCUGACGGUACCCAAAGAAUAAGCACCGGCUAACUUCGUG